AGUAUAUUAGGGUAUUUUGGUAACUUUGGUAGUAGAACAGCUGAUAUAUAAGUCCAUGUAAAACUGUAAUUUGUAACAAACUCAGUAACAAUGUAGUCCUCUCAUUUAUCACGUUUUCUCCCUCUCUUCCUUUCUCUCAUCUUCUUCUUCCUUCGUCUCUGAUUCAUAGCUCAGCUUUCAUGGUAUCAGGAGCUCAAGUCGAUCGGUGACCUAGAUGUUCUUGCUUCCUCUAUCUUUUGCUUCCGUGUUAUCAAUUUCAUUCAAUUUUGAUUUUCCCCAAUUCCAAACCCUAACCCCCAAAUUCAGUUUCUCCCUCUGCCAUGGAUCCUUGCUCCAAGCUUGAGCUUUUCACCGUCGUUGUUCUGUUCUGGAAUCCGAAACUCAUCGAUAUCAAGCUUCCAUGGCCUUGUUCGGUGCGACGUCGUUUUUCGAUUCGAGUGCGGACAAGCGAUUCCCUCCGGCAGUCUCCACCGGAAUUGGAGUGCGGAUUCACGUCCAUGGUUUGAUACAAUUACAGAGAGUUUGGUAAUCUCUUUCCGAUUCACUCAUCUCUACACGUUGUUCAUCUACUCUCUGCAAUUCUUGUUGCUCCGCUUCACUAUACAUACUGCUAAUGUGCUAGUCUAUUAUGGGAUCUUCCCUAAGUCGUUUCUGUUCAUCCGUCUACUUUGCACGUUGUUAUGUUGAAGUAUAUUGAUAGAAUAUUUGAAGAAGAAUUGAAUUUUGAAUUAGAUGGAGAAGAAUUGAUUGGUUUUUGAAGUAGAAGAAUUAGUUGUAAAUAUUUUGAAAGAAGAAGUGAGUGAAAUUUGCAGAAGAAGAAUUGGUUGAAUUUUGAAGAAGUAGAUGAUUAGUUGUAUAUAGUUUGAAGAACAAUUGAAUGAAUUUUUGAAGAAGAAGAGUUGAGUUGAAUUUUGAAGUAUUGAUUGAAUUUUGAAGAAGUAGAUGAUUAGUUGUAUAUAGUUUGAAGAACAAUUGAAUGAAUUUUUGAAGAAGUAUUAAGUGAAUGUUACAGAACAAGAAUUAGUAGAAUAUUGAAGUUUGUUUUCUUUUUGGAUGGAUGAUUCUGACUUGACAAGUGGGAUAGUAGAAGAUGUUAGCUGAUUGUGUUUUGGAUUGUGAGAAUGGCUCUAGUGUGAAGGAAGUGCUCUCAUUGGACCAGAGGGUCUCAGGUUCAUCAGUGAAGUGGAGUUAUGGAGGUGGAGCAGAUGACAAGAUUUUAUCCACUGAGAAACAAUGGAGCUACUGAAAACAUGGUGGUGAAAAUGAAAUUGUUACUAGCAGAACUUUUGUUGGCCGGCCAUGGCUUGAGGGAAGGCCUUGUGAACAAUAUCAAGGAAAAAGAUAUAAUUUCUGACUGCAAGAUCAAGGCUGAUAUUGCACCUUGGCGUGGGUGGGAGCUACACUCUACUUUGAUAGAAGCUUAUGAGUACAAGUGGCUCAUCAUCUUUCUUUUGUCAUCUCAUUAAGGGGAUAUGGUCUUGGCUCUGGAAUUUCUCUUUUGAUUAGGGUGAAGUUGGUUUUCUAAUUGGUUCCUGAGUCUUCAAAAUUUCUUUCAAGCAAGUAGUAGCUCUGAAGCUGAUGUCACUCCAAGGUGCCUCGGUUUCAAACUAUGGACGAAGAAAUGUUGAAAGCAAUCUGUGCGCAUCUGAAGCCUAUAACCUAUACUGAUGGGAUGUAUAGCAUCAAAAAGGAUGAACCACUCCAACUGAUGUUCUUUGUUCUAGCCGGAUAUGCAGUCACUGAAAUUUAUCCUCACGCCGUUGUUCGUGUAGGAGAAUUCUGUGGACAAGAACUUCGAGAAUGGGCAUCAACUAUCUCCUUUCCUGCCAAAUUACCCACAGCACUCGAGUCUGCUAGGGCCAAUGGUGAUGUUAGAGUCCUUGCCCUCACGUCUGACGAUUGGAUUAGUGUAGUCCAUAAAUUUUCAUCUAGCAGUUAAGGGAAGAGAGUGUAGCUGUUAAAACCUUUUCUCAAGCAUUACUUCCGAUGAUACAUAAUAGCUGGUCUUUGUCAAAUGUGUUGUAUAUUAUUACGGUAAAAAUCAGAAAUAGUAGCUGAAUUAUACCUCUAUCUUAUCGAUGGUACCUGAA